GGGCGGAGCCUGGUGUUCUCCCCAGGCGAGGCGUGGAAUGAGGAUCCAGAAGAAUCCUCUUCCAGAAAAAUCAGGAGUUAAAAUUAGUAGCAGGAUUUGCUGAUGGCCCCUGGAAGCUCAGGUUCUCAAGGGAGCAAGUAUUGAUCCCUUAGGCACCGGCUUUAAACUCCCCAGUUAGAAGGAGGCACACAUAGACCUUGGUGGGCAGUCAGCCGGCACCAGUUGCAGAACAAGAACCUGGAUGAAACUCUCAUGGAAGAUUGGAAACCAUCUAAAUAUCUACUAAUAGGGAAGAGAGUUUCAUUAAACAUAUUAAGCAAGCAAUGCAACUGUUUCAUGAAAUACUAUGCAACCAGUUCUUCCACAGCCUCUGGAAGCUCAGGUUCUCGAGGGAUCCAGUAGUGAUCUCUCAAACCCCAGCUAUAAACUCCUGGUCAGGAAGGAACCCCACAGAGAGCCUUGGCAGUCAGCCUCCACCAGUGGCAGAAUGAGACUCUGAGAGCAGCACUGGUCCCCUGGAAGCUGGGGUUCUCAAGGGAGCAAGUAUUGAUCCCUUAGGCUCCAACUCUAGACUCCCCAGGUAGAAGGAGGCACACAGAGACCAUCGUGGCCAAUCAGCCUUUACCAGCUGCAGAAAGAGAAUCUGGAUGCAAU